CCUACGGGAGGCAGCAGUGAGGAAUAUUGGUCAAUGGGCGAGAGCCUGAACCAGCCAAGUCGCGUGAGGGAGUACUGCCCUAUGGGUUGUAAACCUCUUUUGUCGGGGAGCAAAAGCCGGACGUGUCCGGCUGUGAGAGUAACCGAAGAAAAAGUAUCGGAUAACUCCGUGCCAGCAGCCGCGGUAAUACGGGGGACGCGAGCUUUAUCCGGAUUUAGUGGGUGUAAAGGGUGCGCAGGCGGAUUUUUAAGUCAGGGGUCAAAUCGUGGGGCUAAACCCCAUCCAGCAGUUGAAACUGGGGAUCUAGAGUGUGCGAGUGGUAUGCGGAAUGCGUGGUGUAGCGGUGAAAUGCAUAGAUAGCACGCAGAACCCCGAUUGCGAAGGCGGCAUACCGGUGAACAACUGACGCGCAGGCACGAAAGCGUGGGUAUCGAACAGGAUUAGAUACCCCAGUAGUC
rnacentral:rRNA from 1 species